rnacentral:rRNA from 1 species
UACGAAGGGGGCUAGCGUUGUUCGGAAUCACUGGGCGUAAAGGGCGCGUAGGCGGCCGAUCAAGUCGGGGGUGAAAGCCUGUGGCUUAACCACAGAAUGGCCUUCGAUACUGUUUGGCUUGAGACCGGAAGAGGUUAGUGGAACUGCGAGUGUAGAGGUGAAAUUCGUAGAUAUUCGGAAGAACACCAGUGGCGAAGGCGACUCACUGGACACAUAUUGACGCUGAGGUGCGAAAGCGUGGGGAGCAAACAGG